rfam:Aedes aegypti strain Liverpool supercont1.204 genomic scaffold, whole genome shotgun sequence.
CCUCUCGUGGCGUAGGGGUAACGCGCCCUAACUAGAGUUCAAGGAGUCAUGAGUUCGAUUCUCACCGAGAAGA